rnacentral:rRNA from 1 species
GAUGAACGCUGGCGGCGUGCCUAAUACAUGCAAGUCGAGCGAACGGACGAGAAGCUUGCUUCUCUGAUGUUAGCGGCGGACGGGUGAGUAACACGUGGAUAACCUACCUAUAAGACUGGGAUAACUUCGGGAAACCGUAGCUAAUACCGGAUAAUAUUUUGAACCGCAUGGUUCAAAAGUGAAAGACGGUCUUGCUGUCACUUAUAGAUGGAUCCGCGCUGCAUUAGCUAGUUGGUAAGGUAACGGCUUACCAAGGCAACGAUGCAUAGCCGACCUGAGAGGGUGAUCGGCCACACUGGAACUGAGACACGGUCCAGACUCCUACGGGAGGCAGCAGUAGGGAAUCUUACGCAAUGGGCGAAAGCCUGACGGAGCAACGCCGCGUGAGUGAUGAAGGUCUUCGGAUCGUAAAACUCUGUUAUUAGGGAAGAACAUAUGUGUAAGUAACUGUGCACAUCUUGACGGUACCUAAUAAGAAAGCCACGGCUAACUACGUG